rnacentral:rRNA from 1 species
UAAGGAAUAUUGGUCAAUGGACGCAAGUCUGAACCAGCCAUGCCGCGUGAAGGAUGAAGGUCCUCUGGAUUGUAAACUUCUUUUAUCUGGGACGAAAACGGGAUUUUUAUCUCAAUUGACGGUACCAGAGGAAUAAGCACCGGCUAACUCCGUGCCAGCAGCCGCGGUAAUACGGAGGGUGCGAGCGUUAUCCGGAUUUACUGGGUUUAAAGGGUGCGUAGGUGGGCUUAUAAGUCAGUGGUGAAAUCUCCGAGCUUAACUUGGAAACUGCCGUUGAUACUAUAGGUCUUGAAUUAUCUGGAGGUAAGCGGAAUAUGUCAGGUAGCGGUGAAAUGCUUAGAUAUGACAUAGAACACCAAUUGCGAAGGCAGCUUACUACAUAUAAAUUGACGCUGAGGCACGAAAGCGUGGGGAUCAAACA